rnacentral:tRNA from 1 species
GUAGGGGUAGCCAAGCAUGGUCCACGGCGCUAGCCUGAGGCGCUAGUGAGGUAGCUCAUCGAGGGUUCGAAUCCCCCCUCCUACACCA